ACGAACGCUGGCGGCGUGCCUAACACAUGCAAGUCGAACGAGAAAGGGGCUUCGGCCCUGAGUAAAGUGGCGCACGGGUGAGUAACACGUAGGUAACCUACCUCUAAGUUUAGGACAACCUGUCGAAAGAUGAGCUAAUACUGAAUGAGACCACAGUUUCUUCGGAAGCAGAGGUCAAAGGUAGCCUCUAUUUAUAAGCUAUCACUUAGAGAUGGGCCUGCGUACCAUUAGCUAGUUGGUGAGGUAACGGCUCACCAAGGCAAAGAUGGUUAGCUGGUCUGAGAGGAUGAUCAGCCACACUGGAACUGAGACACGGUCCAGACUCCUACGGGAGGCAGCAGUGGGGAAUAUUGCGCAAUGGGCGAAAGCCUGACGCAGCAACGCCGCGUGAGUGAUGAAGGCCUUCGGGUCGUAAAGCUCUGUCGGAGGGAACGAAUGAUCUCGAGGUUAACAGCCUCGGGAAGUGAC
rnacentral:rRNA from 1 species